UCGAUUCGAGCGAAAGCGAGAGAACGUUGCCACAGGCAACGGCCCGAAGGGUGAGGAGCGAAGCGACGAAUAAUCCUUCCCCCACCACCA
rnacentral:sRNA from 1 species